rnacentral:rRNA from 1 species
AACGAACGCUGGCGGCAUGCCUAGCACAUGCAAGUCGAACGAGAUCUUCGGGUCUAGUGGCGCACGGGUGCGUAACGCGUGGGAAUCUGCCCUUUGGUUCGGAAUAACAGUUGGAAAAGACUGCUAAUACCGGAUGAUGACGAAAGUCCAAAGAUUUAUCGCCAGAGGAUGAGCCCGCGUAGGAUUAGCUAGUUGGUGUGGUAAAGGCGCACCAAGGCGACGAUCCUUAGCUGGUCUGAGAGGAUGAUCAGCCACACUGGGACUGAGACACGGCCCAGACUCCUACGGGAGGCAGCAGUGGGGAAUAUUGGACAAUGGGCGAAAGCCUGAUCCAGCAAUGCCGCGUGAGUGAUGAAGGCCUUAGGGUUGUAAAGCUCUUUUACCCGGGAUGAUAAUGACAGUACCGGGAGAAUAAGCUCCGGCUAACUCCGUGCCAGCCGCCGCGGUAAAAC